rnacentral:rRNA from 1 species
AUACGGAGGAUGCGAGCGUUAUCCGGAUUUAUUGGGUUUAAAGGGUGCGUAGGCUGUGCGUUAAGUCAGGGGUGAAAUGCCGUCGCUCAACGACGGAGCUGCCCUUGAUACUGGCGUGCUGGAGUACGGAUGCCGUUGGAGGAAUGAGUGGUGUAGCGGUGAAAUGCUUAGAUAUCACUCAGAACACCGAUUGCGAAGGCAUCUGACGAAUCCGUCACUGACGCUGAGGCACGAAAGCGUGGGGAUAGAACAGGAUUAGAUACCCUGGUAUUCCACGCCGUAAACGAUGAUGACUAACCGUCGGCGAUAGACAGCCGGUGGCCAAGCGAAAGCGAUAAGUUAUCCACCUGGGGAGUACGUCGGCAACGAUGAAACUCAAAGGAAUUGACGGGG